GACAGAGGUGCCGAGCGUUAGGCGGAAUCACUGGGCUUAAAGCGUGUGUAGGCGGACCGUUAAGUACCUUGUGAAAUCCCACGGCUCAACCGUGGAACGGCUGGGUAUACUGGCGGUCUUGGGCCACCUAGGGGCAACCGGAACAAGCGGUGGAGCGGUGAAAUGCGUAGAUAUCGCUUGAAACGCCGACGGUGAAAACAGGUUGCUGGGGGUGUGCCGACGCUGAGACACGAAAGCCAGGGGAGCGAACGGG
rnacentral:rRNA from 1 species